UACAGAGGUCCCAAGCGUUGUUCGGAUUCACUGGGCGUAAAGGGUGCGUAGGUGGCAGGGUAAGUUUGAUGUGAAAUCUCCGAGCUCAACUCGGAAACUGCAUUGAAUACUAUCCUGCUUGAGGAUUGGAGGGGAGACUGGAAUUCUCGGUGUAGCAGUGAAAUGCGUAGAUAUCGGGAGGAACACCAGUGGCGAAGGCGGCUGCCUGGGCCAGUUCUGACGCUGAGGCGCGAAAGCGUGGGGAGCAAACAGG
rnacentral:rRNA from 1 species